AUUUAAUGAUGAAUAUUUCAGUUCUGCUUCUGAAGUUUUUUGAAGAAACUAUACCCACUCUUCUGAUGU